AACGAACGCUGGCGGCAUGCCUAACACAUGCAAGUCGAACGAGACCUUCGGGUCUAGUGGCGCACGGGUGCGUAACGCGUGGGAACCUGCCCUUAGGUUCGGAAUAACUCCCCGAAAGGGGUGCUAAUACCGGGUAAUGUCUUCGGACCAAAGAUUUAUCGCCUUUGGAUGGGCCCGCGUUGGUUUAGCUAGUUGGUAGGGUAAAAGCCUACCAAGGCGACGAUCCAUAGCUGGUCUGAGAGGAUGAGCAGCCACACUGGGACUGAGACACGGCCCAGACUCCUACGGGAGGCAGCAGUGGGGAAUAUUGGACAAUGGGCGAGAGCCUGAUCCAGCAAUGCCGCGUGAGUGAUGAAGGCCUUAGGGUUGUAAAGCUCGUUUACCCGGGAUGAUAAUGACAGUACCGGGAGAAUAAGCUCCGGCUAACUCCGUG
rnacentral:rRNA from 1 species